UCCUCCUCCUCCUCGGGCUCUGCCGCCACUUCUCCUGCAGUGAAAGUGUUACGGCGUGAGUCAGGCGGCCGGGAUCAUCUGACUGAACUUCCCCGCAUUCCUGGGCUGCCGGCUCCGCGGCUGCCCCCGGCUCCUGCCCCCUCUUUUUAGGGUCUUCCCUCUCCCCUGCCUCCCCCCCUUCCUCCUCCUCCGAAAGAAGAAAAAUCCACUCAGUCCAGAUAAAUCCUGGGCAAUUCCCAAAGGGAAAGGCAUUGGAUACGUGCUCGUCGAGAGAGAGAAAAUGAAAAAAAAAAAAAAAAAAAAAGCACAUACACACAACCCACCCUCGUCUACCUGCUUCUCAGAACCUGGACAUUUCAGCCUCAGAAAUGAAUGAAAGAAACAAAUUAUGGAACACAAAGAGGAAAGAGUGGACAGACAGAAAGUCGAGAUUUUUUUUACUCCUCUGUUGGCCAGAGCACGACCCUGAAGGGAGAAGUUAGACCUUCAUGCAAUCAGUGCACACGCUUGCAAUGAAGUUUGCAGGAGCUUUAAGUGGUUACCUUAAAAAACGCAAUUAAACUUUCGACUCCCAAGUGUCCUGGCUUCCCAAGUUAUUGCUGUGCCGUGAAAACACACUUUCAGCAGAGCAACAGAAUCUCUGUCAUCCCGCUCCGUAUGUGUUUCCUGGGACUUGUGUGCAAUAACAGGGUGCACAGACUACAGUCAUGAUGUCCUACACAAACAGAGACAUCCUGCGUUUUAUUUUUGUUUUGCGGAUCAAAUUAUGUUGAGAAAAUAUUAAACACGGAGAUGCAUCCCUGGCCACAGAACAUGCGAUGGGUUUAACACGCUAAACUAAUAAUCUUGCAUUAAAAAAAGCCGAGGAGGCUAAAGAAGAAGAAUAAACUCCCCUCAAACACUCAGAAUAUUCUUUACUGCAAAGGAGCACUUCUGGAUGCGUUGCUUUAAAUCUCAUUCUCGUUUUCUCUCAAAAAUGACUGUUUAACAUAAGAAAAAAGGCUACUUGACACAAAGCUUUUGUUAUCCAGUUGAUCAGCAACGUGCUUUAGAUACUUGUAAAGGGAAAAAAGCCCCACAACAGACAUUGAUUUUAGAAAAUCAAUAACCAACAUUUAAUAAAAAGAACAGAGGAAACACAAGA